rnacentral:rRNA from 1 species
GAUGAACGCUGGCGGCGUGCCUAAUACAUGCAAGUCGAGCGAACAGAUGAGGAGCUUGCUCCUCUGACGUUAGCGGCGGACGGGUGAGUAACACGUGGAUAACCUACCUAUAAGACUGGGAUAACUACGGGAAACCGGAGCUAAUACGGGAUGAUAUAUUGAACCGCAUGGUUCAAUAGUGAAAGACGGUUUUGCUGUCACUUAUAGAUGGAUCCGCGCCGCAUUAGCUAGUUGGUAAGGUAACGGCUUACCAAGGCAACGAUGGGUAGCCGACCUGAGAGGGUGAACGGCCACCCGGGAAGUGAGACACGGUCCCGACUCCUACGGGAGGCAGCAGUAGGGAAUCUUCCGCAAGGGGCGAAAGCCUGACGGUGCAACGCCGCGUGAGUGAUGAAGUUCUUCGGAUCGUAAAACUCUGUUAUUAGGGAAGAACAAAUGUGUAAGUAACUAUGCACGUCUUGACGGUACCUAAUCAGAAGGCCACGGCUAACUACGUG